rnacentral:pre_miRNA from 1 species
UAUAUACUCCCUUCGUCCGGAAAUACUUGUCAUCAAAAUGGAUAAAAGGGAUGUAUCUAGAUGUAUUUUAGUUUUAGAUACAUCCCUUUUUGUCCAUUUUGAUGACAAGUAUUUUCAGACGGAGGGAGUAUAAA